GCCUUGGUAUGGAAACCUGCUAAGUGGUAACUUCCAAAUUCAGAGAAACCCUGGAAUUAAAAAAGGGCAAUCCUGAGCCAAAUCCGUGUUUUGAGAAAACAAGGGGUUCUCGAACUAGAAUACAAAGGAAAAGGAUAGGUGCAGAGACUCAAUGGAAGCUGUUCUAACGAAUCGAGUUAAUUACGUUGUGUUGUUAGUGAAAUUCCUUCUAAUUCUAAAUUAGAGAAAGAGGG
rnacentral:ncRNA from 1 species